ensembl:sense_intronic 4930596I21Rik RIKEN cDNA 4930596I21 gene
UAAUCGCUUGAAUAAGAACUGUCAACCUGGAAGAAGGGGCAGCUUCAUGGAAGUCAGCGACUGGCUUCUUCCACCUCUCCUGUUUAGUGUUGUGGAAGCAUUAGGGGCAGACUGAAGACUCUGAGCUAUUCUGAGCUCAGAAAUUAGUUUUGUACUACAAGAGAAAUUUGGCAGAGAAGUCUGCAUCACCAUAGUGAUAGCACCAGUUAAACUUGUGUGUGUUUCAGAUGCAAAUCCUAGUAAGAUGGGAGUACCUUAUGUUUGCAAGUUGUCAAACUUCUAAGAGUCAAUGUUGAGAAGCUCACAAGUUGUUAUGAGUGCUGUUGAGAGUGAAGACAUUACACAAGUAUAGGAGAGUAUCAAUUGAGGGAUCUGAGCAUUUUUAUUCAUAAUAGCCAGAAACUGGAAACAACAUUGCUUGAAUAAAGAUUGGAUAAAGAAAAUAUGGUACAUUUACACAAU